rnacentral:rRNA from 1 species
AUACGGAGGGUGCAAGCGUUAUCCGGAUUCAUUGGGUUUAAAGGGUGCGCAGGCGGAUAUUUAAGUCAGUGGUGAAAUCCCGGGGCUCAACCUCGGAACUGCCAUUGACACUGAAUAUCUGGAAUACGGUUGAAGUGGGCGGAAUGUAGCAUGUAGCGGUGAAAUGCAUAGAGAUGCUACAGAACACCGAUCGCGAAGGCAGCUCACUAAGCCGAUAUUGACGCUCAGGCACGAAAGCGUGGGGAGCGAACAGGAUUAGAAACCCCAGUAGUCC